rnacentral:rRNA from 1 species
GUAGGGUGCGAGCGUUAAUCGGAAUUACUGGGGCGUAAAGCGUGCGCAGGCGGCUUUGCAAGACAGAUGUGAAAUCCCCCGGGGCUCAACCUGGGGAACUGCAUUUGUGACUGCAAGGCUAGAGUACGGCAGAGGGGGAUGGAAUUCCGCGUGUAGCAGCGAAAUGCGUAGAUAUGCGGAGGAACACCGAUGGCGAAGGCAAUCCCCUGGGCCUGUACUGACGCUCAUGCACGAAAGCGUGGGGAGCAAACAGGAUUAGAUACCCUGGUAGUCCACGCCCUAAACGAUGUCAACUGGUUGUUGGACGGCUUGCUGUUCAGUAACGAAGCUAACGCGUGAAGUUGACCGCCUGGGGAGUACGGCCGCAAGGUUG